GAUGAACGCUGGCGGCGUGCCUAAUACAUGCAAGUCGAGCGAACGGACGAGAAGCUUGCUUCUCUGAUGUUAGCGGCGGACGGGUGAGUAACACGUGGAUAACCUACCUAUAAGACUGGGAUAACUUCGGGAAACCGGAGCUAAUACCGGAUGAUAUUUUGAACCGCAUGGUUCAAUAGUGAAAGACGGUUUUGCUGUCACUUAUAGAUGGAUCCGCGCUGCAUUAGCUAGUUGGUAAGGUAACGGCUUACCAAGGCAACGAUGCAUAGCCGACCUGAGAGGGUGAUCGGCCACACUGGAACUGAGACACGGUCCAGACUCCUACGGGAGGCAGCAGUAGGGAAUCUUCCGCAAUGGGCGAAAGCCUGACGGAGCAACGCCGCGUGAGUGAUGAAGGUCUUCGGAUCGUAAAACUCUGUUAUUAGGGAAGAACAAAUGUGUAAGUAACUAUGCACAUCUUGACGGUACCUAAUCAGAAAGCCACGGCUAACUACGUG
rnacentral:rRNA from 1 species